rnacentral:rRNA from 1 species
UACGGAGGGCGCAAGCGUUGUUCGGAAUCACUGGGCGUAAAGCGCGUGUAGGCGGCCGGGCAAGUCGGGUGUGAAAUCCCGAGGCUCAACCUCGGAACUGCACUCGAAACUGCUCGGCUCGAGUCCCGGAGAGGAUGGCGGAAUUCCCGGUGUAGGGGUGAAAUCCGUAGAUAUCGGGAGGAACACCGGUGGCGAAGGCGGCCUUCUGGACAGUGACCGACGCUGAGACGCGAAAGCGUGGGGAGCAAACAGG